rnacentral:rRNA from 1 species
CCUACGGGAGGCUGCAGUGGGGAAUAUUGCACAAUGGGCGCAAGCCUGAUGCAGCCAUGCCGCGUGUGUGAAGAAGGCCUUCGGGUUGUAAAGCACUUUCAGCGGGGAGGAAGGCGGUGAGGUUAAUAACCUCAUCGAUUGACGUUACCCGCAGAAGAAGCACCGGCUAACUCCGUGCCAGCAGCCGCGGUAAUACGGAGGGUGCAAGCGUUAAUCGGAAUUACUGGGCGUAAAGCGCACGCAGGCGGUCUGUCAAGUCGGAUGUGAAAUCCCCGGGCUCAACCUGGGAACUGCAUUCGAAACUGGCAGGCUAGAGUCUUGUAGAGGGGGGUAGAAUUCCAGGUGUAGCGGUGAAAUGCGUAGAGAUCUGGAGGAAUACCGGUGGCGAAGGCGGCCCCCUGGACAAAGACUGACGCUCAGGUGCGAAAGCGUGGGGAGCAAAUGGGAUUAGAUACCCGAGUAGUC